rnacentral:rRNA from 1 species
UACGUAGGGUGCAAGCGUUAAUCGGAAUUAUUGGGCGUAAAGCGCGCGCAGGCGGUUUCUUAAGUCUGAUGUGAAAGCCCACGGCUUAACCGUGGAAGGUCAUUGGAAACUGGGAGACUUGAGUGCAGAAGAGAAGAGCGGAAUUCCACGUGUAGCGGUGAAAUGCGUAGAGAUGUGGAGGAACACCAGUGGCGAAGGCGGCUCUGUGGUCUGUAACUGACGCUGAGGCGCGAAAGCGUGGGGAUCAAACAGG